AGUGCCUGGAUGUCUGGAGGACGAAACGGGGUCUGCCACAGAAGCUCUGUGGCUCCUGCCUGUCCCAGAAGCUGUUAGCUUCAGUAGUCCACACUCUCACCUGUGCAGUCUAGUAUUGGAGGGAUUUAGCAAUGAAGAUGGCUCCUGCAGAUGCUCCCGUGUUUACAUUUUCUUGCUGAUAAGUGUGGCUACCCCACUCAUCAAAGAAGCCUUUCUUUUGAGCAAAUGGAGACCGUCACAGAAAAAUCACAACUGGAUACAGCGCAAACAUCAACAGAUUGUGGGGAGCCAAGCUUCCCUCCAAGGAUACACAUUCUAGUCUUUUUAAAACACCAGUGGAAGAGGAUUGAAUUAAUCAUACUCCCGACUUUAUGAUAAAAUUAAUAUCAUUGCUCUCUGCAAUGCUCCUCUUGUUUAUCAUUUAGUCUUUUAAAGAUUACAUUCUCAUUCCUUAUAAGUAGUCAUACUAAUUGUUUAUUAUGUGUCUUUUCCCC
rnacentral:lncRNA from 1 species